rnacentral:rRNA from 1 species
UACGUAGGGACCAAGCGUUGUUCGGAUUUACUGGGCGUAAAGGGCGCGUAGGCGGCAAUUCAAGUCAUCUGUGAAAUCUCCGGGCUUAACUCGGAACGGUCAGGUGAAACUGCUUUGCUAGAGUGCGGAAGGGGCAAUCGGAAUUCUCGGUGUAGCGGUGAAAUGCGUAGAUAUCGAGAGGAACACCUGAGGCGAAGGCGGCUCACUGGACCGGAACUGACGCUGAGGCGCGAAAGCGUGGGGAGCAAACAGG